GCUUGUCUCAAAGAUUAAGCCAUGCAUGUCUAAGUAUAAGCAACUUUGUACUGCGAAACUGCGAAUGGCUCAUUAAAUCAGUUAUAGUUUAUUUGAUGGUUUUUGCUACAUGGAUAACUGUGGUAAUUCUAGAGCUAAUACAUGCAUUCAAGCCCCGACUUCUGGAAGGGGUGUAUUUAUUAGAUAAAAAUCAACUUUGUUGGUGAAUCAUAAUAACUUCUCGGACCGCAUGGCCUCGUGCUGGCGGUGCUUCAUUCAAAUAUCUGCCCUAUCAACUGUCGAUGGUAGGAUAGAGGCCUACCAUGGUUGCAACGGGUAACGGGGAAUAAGGGUUAA
rnacentral:rRNA from 1 species